GAUGAACGCUGGCGGCGUGCCUAAUACAUGCAAGUCGAGCGAAAAGAUGAGGAGCUUGCUCCUCUGACGUUAGCGGCGGACGGGUGAGUAACACGUGGAUAACCUACCUAUAAGACUGGGAUCACUUCGGGAAACCGGAGCUAAUACCGGAUAAUAUAUUGAACCGCAUGGUUCAAUAGUGAAAGACGGUUUUGCUGUCACUUAUCGAUGGAUCCGCGCCGCAUUAGCUAGUUGGUAAGGUAACGGCUUACCAAGGCAACGAUGCGUAGCCGACCUGAGAGGGGGAUCGGCCACACUGGAACUGAGACACGGUCCAUACUCCUACGGGAGGCAGCAGUAGGGAAUCUUCCGCAAUGGGCGAAAGCCUGACGGAGCAACGCCGCGUGAGUGAUGAAGGUCUUCGGAUCGUAAAACUCUGUUAUUAGGGAAGAACAAAUGUGUAAGUAACUAUGCACGUCUUGACGGUACCUAAUCAGAAAGCCACGGCUAACUACGUG
rnacentral:rRNA from 1 species